CUGGAACGACCCCGUUUUAAUGGGCAGGUAUACGAAGGACUUAUCGUCCCUAUAGGGUUUCGCUGGAUUGAAAUCCCUUUUCCCAAUCAGUCACCCGCAGUCUCGCACCCACAGCACCUGUUUGUGAGCUGAGGCGAAAUCGUCGUUUCCUGUGGUCUCAUUCCGGCGGUCUCCCUCUCAUUCCGGCAGUCUCCCUUCUUUCUGAAAUCGGUUUUCUACUUCCUCCCAACAGACAGAAUGCCUCAAGUGUGCACUUGGAGAAAGAAGCGGUCAUACAAGAGGUGUUGGAAGAAAAGUGAAGAAUGUAGCACCAUAUUAUGGGCCAAGUACAUCAACCAAUGCCCAAAACUUCAAUGCAUUUGCUCAAGAGUUGACUCAACAAAUGAGUCAACAAUUUACUGAACAGAUGCAUCAAAUGUUCUUAUCUCAAAAUCCAAACGCCCAACCACCACAAUUUCAAUUUACUUUUGAUCCUUCCCGACUACAAGUUCCCUACGGUCAUGAUGUCAAUGAAGAAGAUGAAGAAAGUCAAGGAUAUGAAAAUGAAGAUGAUGAAAUGGAAGAAGGUUCAAAAUGAAGAAUGGGAAAGUAGUUCUAGUGGACCUGAUAAUUAGGUUGAUUGUUUUAGUUUGGUUUGUAUGAAACAUCUAAAAAAAAUCAUAUUUAGCUCUUCAGUUUUGGUAAACCAAGCAUGUAAGAUAUUUUAAAAGUUUGGAUGGUAUCAUAUUUUGGAAUGAUUUAGAUUUAAA